GGGCAUCUGACUGCUUAUUGCACCACAUGUGUUUUUUAUUGAACAAAUUUCUUUGGUGGCGGGAGCAAUCCUACCGCCAGAGGUUAUAACUAAACCAAACUUUUUAUUUACAGUCAAACUUGAUUUAUUAUUACAAUAGUCAAAACUUUCAACAACGGAUCUCUUGGUUCUCGCAUCGAUGAAGAACGCAGCGAAAUGCGAUACGUAAUAUGAAUUGCAGAUAUUCGUGAAUCAUCGAAUCUUUGAACGCACAUUGCGCCCUUUGGUAUUCCAAAGGGCAUGCCUGUUUGAGCGUCAUUUCUCCCUCAAACCCCCGGGUUUGGUGUUGAGCAAUACGCUAGGUUUGUUUGAAAGAAUUUACGUGGAAACUUAUUUUAAGCGACUUAGGUUUAUCCAAAACGCUUAUUUUGCUAGUGGCCACCACAAUUUAUUUCAUAACUUUGACCUCAAAUCAGGUAGGACUACCCGCUGAACUUAAGCAUAUCAAAAGCGGGAGGAAA
rnacentral:rRNA from 1 species